UGAGGAAUAUUGCGCAAUGGGGGCAACCCUGACGCAGCAACGCCGCGUGAGUGAGGAAGGUUUUCGGACCGUAAAGCUCUGUCGAGCGGGAAGAAAUGCAUGGUGGCUAAUAUCCAUCAUGCUUGACGGUACCGCUAAAGGAAGCACCGGCUAACUCCGUGCCAGCAGCCGCGGUAAUACGGGGGGUGCGAGCGUUGUUCGGAAUUAUUGGGCGUAAAGAGCGUGUAGGCGGCCGAAUAAGUCAGAUGUGAAAUCCCUGGGCUUAAACCAGGAACGGCAUUUGAAAAGAUUUGGGUGGAGUAGGGGAGAGGAAAGGGGAAUUCCUGGUGUAGGGGUGAAAAUCGUAGAAUACAGGAGGAAAAACGGUGGGGAAGGAGAACUUCUGGGCCUAAACCGAAGACGAGAAGGGAGAGCGUGGGUAGCAAACA
rnacentral:rRNA from 1 species